AUACGUAGGGGGCGAGCGUUGUCCGGAAUUAUUGGGCGCAAAGGGUUCGCAGGCGGUCUGAUAAGUCAGAUGUGAAAGGCAAUGGCUCAACCAUUGUAAGCAUUUGAAACUGUCAGACUUGAGUUAAGGAGAGGAAAGUGGAAUUCCUAGUGUAGCGGGGAAAUGCGUAGAUAUUAGGAGGAAUACCAGUGGCGAAGGCGACUUUCUGGACUUAUACUGACGCUGAGGAACGAAAGCGUGGGGAGCAAACAGGAUUAGAUACCCUGGUAGUCCACGCCGUAAACGAUGAGUGCUAGGUGUUGGGGGUCAAACCUCGGUGCCGCAGCUAACGCAUUAAGCACUCCGCCUGGGGAGUACGUACGCAAGUAUGAAACUCAAAGGAAUUGACGGGG
rnacentral:rRNA from 1 species